CCAUUAUAUUACGCAGUACAUAGUGUAUAUAGUCACUUCUCUAAACAUGGGGUACGGAGACCUCAAAUCAACCUAUCGUGGAAGUGUCUACAUAGUUUAGUAAAGGAAUCGAUCUAGCCAACUGGUCGUGGAAGUGUCUAUAUAGUUUAGUAAAGGAAUCAAUCUAGCCAUCUGGUCGUGGAAGUGUCUAUAUAGUUUAAAACCAUGAAUUCUGUUAUUGUUUUAAUUCUACUUGGGUGCAUCACAGUAUUGCAAGCUGAAUUGUGCCGGGAGCAAUCGUAUUCUGGUUCUUAUUCAUACAAGUACUGUUAUAGAUGCUGUGGUACAUCGUAUUAUGAGUAUUGCUGUAGUUCAUACAAUACAUACAAUGAAACAUCCUCCAGCUCCAGCGUGACUAUAUUUGCUGCUGUUUUUGGUACUAUGGCAGUGAUAGUGAUUUUAAGCUGUGUAGCAUGUGUUUGUUGUGCCAGUUGUAAAAAUCGAUCCUCUGGUAGAGUUCUAGCAAUGAAUCCAUCAUCAAAUGUAGCUACUAUUUCAUAUGGCCAGCACUCUACAAUUUCCUAUAAUAACCAAGUGGGGGUAGGCCAACCCCCACAGCCCUAUACCUACUCAAAUCCAGCUUAUCCACCACAACCACCAACCUACAAUCCAGCACAACCACAACCCUACAAUCCACAAGCACCCCCUUAUUAUCCAUCACCGUUUGAUGAACAGCCACCACCUUACAGUCCUCAACUUCCUGGAUCAGUCGACACCGACCUAUUCCCGAAUAACUCGGAACCAGAAAAUAACCCCAACCCUAAUCCGUCAGAACCGUCAAAUCCAUCAGUAGAGUGGCCCGAAAACAAUAAUAAUUCUGUACAGGGUCAUAGCUAGUUCAGAGCAACGAGGGGACAGGAAGUGUUCUCGUGAGUGCUGUAAAAUUGACGGGCAAUGUAUAUCUAUUGUUAUUAUGGUCAACAAUAUUUUCACGGGGGGUGGGGGGGGGGUAGUUACGGGCCUGAUUCUGUAUCUACAAUAAUAAUGAGGACCAGGACAACCAAGAGUCUGAAAGUUAAGAUACUUUCUCCUACGUCGAAUCCAGUUAAGCACAUUUUCAUUGAGUGCAGGCAUCUCAAAUAUAUAAGAUCGCAAUUUUACCGUUGUCAGUCAUUAAAUCACAUGUUUGCCCAACCGGGUCUAUAUUGUAAAGCGCUAGAUUUUUUAAAAGGGACAAAUUUUAAUUGUAUAUAUCUGAUUUUCCCUUUCAUGUUUUAAAUAUAUAUACAUAAAAACUUUAUAUUUAUUUUUAUUUGAUAUUUACUGUGAUAUUUGUUUUUAUUUAUGUAUAUAUAUAUAUAUAGAUAUGUGAUUAUAUGUUUCUAGUUUGUCUCGAGAACCCUCACCAUAUGUUUGGCGCAAUAUAGCCCGGUUGGAGCUGACGUGCCAUUAAACAACAUUUCAUUCCAUUUAUAUAACAACGUGUAAGACUUUUUAAAAGAGACAGGAUUUUAUUAUGAAUUUUAAUUGUAUAUAUCAUUUCAUUUUUGUUUUUAAAUAUUUGUAUGCAUAAAAGAUUGAUUUUAUUUUUAAUUUUACUUACUGUGAUAUUGUUUAUAUUUAUGCAUAUAUAAUUUUUUCUGUGAUAUAAUUUAGCCUGUCUCAAAGUAAUCACCAUGUGUUUGGCGCAAUAUAGCCCGGUUGGAGCUGACGUGUCAUUAAACCAUAUUUCAUUUCAUUUCCUUCGUGGAAUUAUGAGCACAAAUGAAAUUAGUCGUAAUGUAGUUUCAAAUGAAGGUAAAUCAAACCCAAUUUCAUUCAUUCCGUACAGAGACAAAUGUGCACCAGUGCCUAUAAAAAUAACUUAAUAAAUAAAAUGAUUGUUGUCCCCGUUA